CACGGGGAAAUAACUCUUAACUAUAAACCUUUCGUACCGACGGUUACUUGCAACGGUUGCUUGAUAGCAUAAUCGAGUGCACACACUAUUGUUUUCUACGAAUACAAGAAGAAACCACAUGAAAUUAGUCCCAAAUUACAGCUAAAAAUUCUCUAAACAGUUCUGCAUAUGAUUCCUAAAACAUUUGUUGAUAUAAAGUGUAUACAUCAAUAAUUUUCAAAAGUUAAAUGACGGCUCCCACUUCGUACUACGGUUGGUACGGUAGCAAAUCUGGAAACCUCUAGUGUG
rnacentral:lncRNA from 1 species